GGCGUCGUACCCAAGUGGCUAAGGGAGCGCAUUGCAAAUGCGUUAUUCGCCGGUUCGAUUCCGGCCGACGCCUCCA
rnacentral:tRNA from 1 species